GGUCGGCUCGGCUCGGAUAAAAACAGAGAGAUACGAACACCGCCGCUCGCCGACGGCUAGUUGGUGGCCGCCGGCGGCGAUCCGGUGCCGCUGGCGCUGGUAGAGGGGACGCCGCUGCACGUGCGUGAAUGUCCGGAGCCAGUCUCAGCUCGAGAUUUGCGGCGAUUUUGUUCAGAAUGCAUCCUUCGCCCCUGAAAAAUUCUCAGAUUUUGUUCAGUGAUGUAGCUAUGGGGAUGUGGUGGUCUUGUGUCUGAUUUCUUUGCCCACACUUUGGGGGUAGUACUGUACAGAGGGCAAUUGGGAAUUGAACAAUCAAAUGUUCUGCAACUCAUCCAGAAACUUAUGUUACUUAUGAUACUGACGACAAUAGGCUAUAUGCGAUUCUCAUGUAGCCGGUUUUAACUGAAGUUUAACAUAUUGAUAUACAUCAUUUUUAUAUUGUUGAAGAGAGGUCAUAAAAAAUGUCAAUUAGAAAUUUACAAUCCUUACAAAAUCAAAGGGGAAACAAAACUACUCUUUGCACAUCAGCUACAAGAGCCGCUUCCUCGUCUGUUCUAGCAUAAUUUGCAAGCUGGUGGGCAGCUCCAUUGCUCUCUCUAAUGAUCUUAGACAUGAAGCCCGCACUCCGCAAAAAUCUCCAUCACUCCUGUCAGUCCGUUAUCUGCAUUCUUUGAUAACACCUCCUACUCCGCCGUGCAGUCCGUUUCAUACACAGCUGGCCACCCUGCAAACUUCAGAUAACUGACGGAGGCCAACCAACCAUCACAUCGACAGCUUGUAAGCCUCCUCUGCCUCGGACCAUGGGCUUAUCUUCAGGUAGAAAGCAAGGCCACACCACUAUGGUCCCUUAAUAAAGCACCAGCACUUCCUUGCCACACAGCUUCAACAAAGGAACCACCGGCGUUCAUAUUGAUUUAUACAUAUUACUAAGGAAAUAAUUAGAGUGGUCGUUCUUGCCCACAUGUAGUCAAUUGUGGGGUCGAUGUGGUCAAGACUAAACUUCUCCCAUAACCAUACCUGAUCAUGAGUCCAUCGCUAAUUAAUGUACUCUUGUAAUGCAACUACAUAAAUUAUAUAAAAUAAAUGCAUUAUUAUGUUUGUUUCUUAGCCUCUAUAUGAGGUUGUUGAAGGUUAUCGUAGUUCCAUAUUUGGGUUUAAAGUUAACAUACAUAGACUGUACUUCCUUCAUCGGAGAGGGAGAAAAUGUUUUCCCCUCCUGUGGAAAUGUGUGAGCAUCUCCACAUCUGUGACGGAGUUACACAUGGCUUUCCCUUGAGGGUAAAUGUGUCAUCUUCAAGAUCGUACCUAUUUGCGACCCAGUUCAAUGAUUUGCAGCGAUUGUGUACUGGCUUCGUCUUCAGGAUGUCUCGCAGUCCCACCAUUCUGAUGAGGUCCACCUACGGUGCGGUAUUCAUGGAGCCUUUGGCUCAUCAGAAUGCAGAGAGAUAAUCCAAAGGAUAUAUCCACAGAGUUGGGAAAGGGGACCAAGGAAGAGCUAUAUUUCGACAUUCCCGCAUAUCGUCAGCAAUUUGAGGACUAUAGAUUUGUGAUAUAUGACUAUGAAAAGCCAACCUUUGGCCCAUCAGAAUGAAGAGACAAAUCAAAAGAGACAUAGGGUGAUUUAGGAGGGAAUAAUGAAGAGCCAUAUAUCUUCUACAAGUCCAUCUAUGGGGAGAUGUUCAUGGAGCCUUCAGCUCAUCAGAAUGUAGAGAAAAUCCAAAGGAGACAUCCAGAGACUUGGGAAAGGGGACCAAGAAAGAGAUAUGUUUCCUUGACAUCCCUACAUAUAUAUAUCAUCAGAUAUCCAUGGAGCAGAAUAUCGUGGGAAGUUUUCAAGCUCUCUCUCAGCAAUUUCAGGUUGAUACUUGACUUUGUCCAUGAUUGCCAACAACUCCGGUUAUUAUUAGUGCUCGAUUUCUUUGCCGGGACUUCUAACAUUGGUCAGAGAUAUAGAGGCAUGGUGUGGUACUAAUAAUUGUACAAUAAUUAGCUAUGCACAAGUAUGUCCUGAGAAUUUUACCAACCAUAAGGAUUUCCUCGGUGGGUUGGUGAUACGCGUAAAAAAGCAUUCGCAGGACGAGUUCAACAGUUGAAGUGGCAAACCAAACUAAGCAAUUGUCUAUGGCCGAAAGUACCCUUCUGAGCUUGAGCUCAAAUGAGUUCAUGUGAACGGUAAAAUCAAAAUAAAAAAUCAACAUUCUUGAA